rnacentral:lncRNA from 1 species
GGGGUCCCUCUGUGGGUCUGGGGUCCCUUUUGGGUCCCCCAUUUUGGGUCUGGGUCCCCCAUUUUGGGUCUGGGGUCCCAUUUGGGUCCCCCUUUUGGGUCUGGGGUCCCUUUUGGCUCUGGGGUCCCUUUGGGGUCCCAUUUGGGUUUGGGGUCCCUUUGGGGUCUGGGGUCCCAUUUUGGGUCCCCCAUUUUGGGUCUGGGGUCCCAUUUUGGGUCUGGGGUCCCUUUGGGGGUCCCCAUUUUGGGUCUGGGGUCCCUCUUUGGGGUCCCCCAUUUUGGGUCUGGGGUCCCAUUUGGGUCUGGGGUCCCCUUUUUGGGUCCCCCAUUUGGGUCUGGGUCCCCCUUUUGGGUCCCCCAUUUGGGUCUGGGGUCCCAUUUUGGGUCUGGGGUCUCCCUUUUGGGUCCCUUUUGGGUCUGGGGUUCCCCUUUGGGGUCUCCCUUUUGGGUCUGGGGUCUCCCUUUUGGGUCCCUGUUGGGUCUGGGGUCCCCUUUUGGGUCUGGGGUCCCUUUUGGGUCUGGGGUCCCUUUGGGGUCCCAUUUGGGUUUGGGGUCCCUUUGGGGUCUGGGGUCCCAUUUGGGUCCCCCAUCUGGGUCUGGGGUCCCUCUGUGGGUCUGGGGUCUCCAUUUUGGGUCUGGGGUCCCAUUUGGGUCUGGGAUCCCUUUGGGGUCCAUUUUGGGUCUGGGGUCCCCCAUUUUGGGUCUGGGGUCCCUUUUGGGUCUGGGGUCCCCCAUUUGGCUCUGGGGUCCCUUUGGGGUCCCAUUUGGGUCUGGGGUCCCCUUUUUGGGUCCCCCAUUUGGGUCUGGGGUCCCCCUUUUGGGUCCCCCAUUUUGGGUCUGGGGUCCCUUUGGGGGUCUCCAUUUUGGGUCUGGGUCCCCCAUUUUGGGUCUGGGGUCCCUUUGGGGUCUGGGGUCCCAUUUUGGGUCCCCCAUUUGGGUCUGGGGUCCCUUUUGGGUCUGGGGUCUCCCUUUGGGGUCCCUUUUGGCUCUGGGGUCCCUUUGGGGUGUCCCUUUUGGGUCUGGGGUCCCUUUUGGGUCUGGGGUCCCAUUUUGGGUCCCCCAUUUGGGUCCCCCAUUUGGGUCUGGGGUCCCCCUUUUGGGUCCCCCAUUUCGGUCUGGGGUCCCUUUGGGGGUCCCCAUUUUGGGUCUGGGGUCCCUCUUUGGGGUCCCUUUUGGGUCUGGGGUCCCCAUUUUGGGUCUGGGGUCCCAUUUGGGUCUGGGGUCCCAUUUGGGUCUGGGGUCCCUGACCCCCCCCUGCCCCGCCCAGCGCCGGGCGAGGACCCCGAGCUCGUGGUGGCCACGACGCGCCUGGAGACGAUGCUGGGGGACGCGGCGGUGGCCGUUCACCCCGAAGACCCCCGCUUUGAGGUGA